GACGAACGCUGGCGGCGUGCUUAACACAUGCAAGUCGAACGGUGAAGCGCCUUCCUUUUUGGUGGGUGUGGAUGAGUGGCGAACGGGUGAGUAACACGUGAGUAACCUGCCCCCUUCUUCUGGAUAACCGCAUGAAAGUGUGGCUAAUACGGGAUAUUCUGGGCCUGUCGCAUGAUGGGUCUGGGAAAGAUAUUGUUUCGGUGGGGGAUGGGCUCGCGGCCUAUCAGCUUGUUGGUGGGGUGAUGGCCUACCAAGGCGGUGACGGGUAGCCGGCCUGAGAGGGUGGACGGUCACACUGGGACUGAGACACGGCCCAGACUCCUACGGGAGGCAGCAGUGGGGAAUAUGGCACAAUGGGCGCAAGCCUGAUGCAGCGACGCCGCGUGAGGGAUGGAGGCCUUCGGGUUGUGAACCUCUUUCGCCAGUGAAGCAGGCCUGCCUCGUUUGUGGGUGGGUUGACGGUAGCUGGAUAAGAAGCGCCGGCUAACUACGUG
rnacentral:rRNA from 1 species